GAUGAACGCUAGCUACAGGCUUAACACAUGCAAGUCGAGGGACCGGCGCACGGGUGAGUAACGCGUAUCCAACCUUCCCGCGACUGGGGGAUAACCUUGCGAAAGUAAGACUAAUACCCCAUGGUUGUGGAUGGGGAUGCGUCUGAUUAGCUUGUUGGCGGGGUAACGGCCCACCAAGGCUACGAUCAGUAGGGGUUCUGAGAGGAAGGUCCCCCACAUUGGAACUGAGACACGGUCCAAACUCCUACGGGAGGCAGCAGUGAGGAAUAUUGGUCAAUGGGCGAGAGCCUGAACCAGCCAAGUAGCGUGCAGGAUGACGGCCUAUGGGUUGUAAACUGCUUUUAUACGGGAAUAUGUACCGUAUGAAUAAGGACCGGCUAAUUCCGUGCCAGCAGCCGCGGUAAUACGGAAGGUCCGGGCGUUAUCCGGAUUUAUUGGGUUUAAAGGGAGCGUAGGCCGCCGAUUAAGCGUGUUGUGAAAUGCCGCAGCUCAACUGUGGCACUGCAGCGCGAACUGGUUGGCUUGAGUGCGCGGAAGGCAGGCGGAAUUUGUGGUGUAGCGGUGAAAUGCUUAGAUAUCACGAAGAACCCCGAUUGCGAAGGCAGCCUGCCGCAGCGUAACUGACGCUGAAGCUCGAAAGUGCGGGUAUCGAACAGGAUUAGAUACCCUGGUAGUCCGCACGGUAAACGAUGGAUGCCCGCUUCCGGAGUGGCCAAGCGAAAGCGUUAAGCAUCCCACCUGGGGAGUACGCCGGCAACGGUGCAACUCAAAGGAAUUGACGGAAUG
rnacentral:rRNA from 1 species